rnacentral:rRNA from 1 species
GAGUUUGAUCCUGGCUCAGAUUGAACGCUGGCGGCAGGCCUAACACAUGCAAGUCGAGCGGUAACAGAUCCAGCUUGCUGGAUGCUGACGAGCGGCGGACGGGUGAGUAAUGCAUAGGAAUCUGCCCGAUAGUGGGGGAUAACCUGGGGAAACCCAGGCUAAUACCGCAUACGUCCUACGGGAGAAAGGGGGCUCCGGCUCCCGCUAUGGGAUGAGCCUAUGUCGGAUUAGCUAGUUGGUGAGGUAACGGCUCACCAAGGCGACGAUCCGUAGCUGGUCUGAGAGGAUGAUCAGCCACAUCGGGACUGAGACACGGCCCGAACUCCUACGGGAGGCAGCAGUGGGGAAUAUUGGACAAUGGGCGAAAGCCUGAUCCAGCCAUGCCGCGUGUGUGAAGAAGGCCCUCGGGUUGUAAAGCACUUUCAGCGAGGAAGAACGCCUAGCGGUUAAUACCCGCUAGGAAAGACAUCACUCGCAGAAGAAGCACCGGCUAACUCCGUGCCAGCAGCCGCGGUAAUACGGAGGGUGCAAGCGUUAAUCGGAAUUACUGGGCGUAAAGCGCGCGUAGGUGGCUUGAUAAGCCGGUUGUGAAAGCCCCGGGCUCAACCUGGGAACGGCAUCCGGAACUGUCAAGCUAGAGUGCAGGAGAGGAAGGUAGAAUUCCCGGUGUAGCGGUGAAAUGCGUAGAGAUCGGGAGGAAUACCAGUGGCGAAGGCGGCCUUCUGGACUGACACUGACACUGAGGUGCGAAAGCGUGGGUAGCAAACAGGAUUAGAUACCCUGGUAGUCACGCCGUAAACGAUGUGCAAACAGGAUUAGAUACCCUGGUAGUCCACGCCGUAAACGAUGUCGACCAGCCGUUGGGUGCCUAGCGCACUUUGUGGCGAAGUUAACGCGAUAAGUCGACCGCCUGGGGAGUACGGCCGCAAGGUUAAAACUCAAAUGAAUUGACGGGGGCCCGCACAAGCGGUGGAGCAUGUGGUUUAAUUCGAUGCAACGCGAAGAACCUUACCUACUCUUGACAUCCUGCGAAUUUGGUAGAGAUACCUUAGUGCCUUCGGGAACGCAGAGACAGGUGCUGCAUGGCUGUCGUCAGCUCGUGUUGUGAAAUGUUGGGUUAAGUCCCGUAACGAGCGCAACCCUUGUCCUUAUUUGCCAGCGCGUAAUGGCGGGAACUCUAAGGAGACUGCCGGUGACAAACCGGAGGAAGGUGGGGACGACGUCAAGUCAUCAUGGCCCUUACGAGUAGGGCUACACACGUGCUACAAUGGUCGGUACAAAGGGUUGCCAACUCGCGAGAGUGAGCCAAUCCCGAAAAGCCGAUCUCAGUCCGGAUCGGAGUCUGCAACUCGACUCCGUGAAGUCGGAAUCGCUAGUAAUCGUGGAUCAGAAUGCCACGGUGAAUACGUUCCCGGGCCUUGUACACACCGCCCGUCACACCAUGGGAGUGGACUGCACCAGAAGUGGUUAGCCUAACGCAAGAGGGCGAUCACCACGGUGUGGUUCAUGACUGGGGUGAAGUCGUAACAAGGUAGCCGUAGGGGAACCUGCGGCUGGAUCACCUCCUUUCU